CCUACGGGAGGCAGCAGUGAGGAAUAUUGGUCAAUGGACGAGAGUCUGAACCAGCCAAGUAGCGUGAAGGAUGACUGCCCUAUGGGUUGUAAACUUCUUUUAUAAAGGAAUAAAACGAGGCACGUGUGCCUUUUUGCAUGUACUUUAUGAAUAAGGAUCGGCUAACUCCGUGCCAGCAGCCGCGGUAAUACGGAGGAUCCGAGCGUUAUCCGGAUUUAUUGGGUUUAAAGGGAGCGUAGAUGGGUUGUUAAGUCAGGUGUGAAAGUUUGCGGCUCAACCGUAAAAUUGCAAUUGAUACUGGCAGUCGUGAGUACAGUUGAGGUAGGCGGAAUUCGUGGUGUAGCGGUGAAAUGCUUAGAUAUCACGAAGAACCCCGAUUGCGAAGGCAGCUUACUAAACUGUGACUGACAUUGAUGCUCGAAAGUGUGGGUAUCAAACAGGAUUAGAUACCCUUGUAGUC
rnacentral:rRNA from 1 species